rnacentral:rRNA from 1 species
ACGGAAGGCAGCAGUGGGGAAUAUUGCACAAUGGGGGAAACCCUGAUGCAGCGACGCCGCGUGAGUGAAGAAGUAUUUCGGUAUGUAAAGCUCUAUCAGCAGGGAAGAAAAUGACGGUACCUGACUAAGAAGCCCCGGCUAACUACGUGCCAGCAGCCGCGGUAAUACGUAGGGGGCAAGCGUUAUCCGGAUUUACUGGGUGUAAAGGGCGCGUAGGCGGGGAAGCAAGUCAGAUGUGAAAUCUAUGGGCUUAACUCAUAAACUGCAUUUGAAACUGUUUCUCUUGAGUGCUGGAGAGGUAGAUGGAAUUCCUAGUGUAGCGGUGAAAUGCGUAGAUAUUAGGAAGAACACCAGUGGCGAAGGCGAUCUACUGGACAGUAACUGACGCUGAGGCGCGAAAGCGUGGGGAGCAAACAGGAUUAGAUACCCUGGUA